rnacentral:rRNA from 1 species
UGGGGAAUAUUGGGCAAUGGGCGCAAGCCUGACCCAGCGACGCCGCGUGGGUGAUGAAGGCCUUCGGGUCGUAAAGCCCUGUCGGGUGGAAAGAACGGUAGCGGUGCAAAUAGCGCUGUUACGUGACGGUACCACCGAAGGAAGCACCGGCCAAUUCCGUGCCAGCAGCCGCGGUAAGACGGAAGGUGCAAGCGUUGCUCGGAAUCAUUGGGCGUAAAGGGUGCGUAGGCGGCUUGGUAAGUCUGCCGUGAAAGCCCAGGGCUCAGCCCUGGAAGCGCGUGAGAAACUGCCAGGCUUGAGUGUCGGAGGGGAGAGUGGAAUUCCUGGUGUAGCGGUGAAAUGCGUAGAGAUCAGGAGGAAUACCGGUGGCGAAAGCGACUCUCUGGACGGCAACUGACGCUGAGGCACGAAAGCGUGGGGAGCAAACAGGAUUAGAUACCCCGGUAGUCC